ensembl:lncRNA
UCUACCAGCCCUCCUGAUUAACUGGAGAGGUCAACAAGGCCAAGUGGCGGGUCCUGCACUUUGGCCACAACAAGCCCAUGCAGCGCUAUAGGCUUGGGGAUGAGUGGCUGGAGGACUGUGAAGAGGAAAGUGUCCUGCGGGUGUUGGCUGAUGAAAGGCUCAACAUGAGCCGGCACCGUGCACUUGCAGCCCCCAAGGCCAAGCGUUUCCUGUGCUGCAUUAAGACAAACGUGAUUAGCAGGUCAGGGGAAGUGAUUCUGCCCCUCUACUCAGCUCUCACAAGGCCCCACCUGCCGCACUGCAUCCACUUCUGGGGCCCCCAGCACAAGAAAGACAGCGGACUGUUGCAGCAGGUCCUCUGAUGCUGAGCACCAUGCCUCCAGGUGGCUGUGCUGACCGGGCCUUUCUCAAUGCCCCAUUCGGCUCUGGAACAAGGUCAGCAAGGCUGUUGUUCCAGAUGGCCCAAAGCAGCAACCCUCAGGCACCAAGUGGAAAGCCUUCAGCUUUGCAAAAUCCCCACUGUGGCGGUGACACUUGGAGAGGGACAACAACAGUGACAGCUCAUCAGGCGGAUGCAGUCCUGCACCGGGUCUUCAUGGGGGGUCCCAUGAACAUAUUGAGGCAGAGUUGCUGUUGUGAGACAAUGGAACCCCCUGAAAAGGAUGAACGUUCACAGCGAAAAAGACUUAGCCUUCAUCCAAC